rnacentral:lncRNA from 1 species
GAGAGAGAUGUCUUAUCAGGGGAAGAAAAAUAUUCCACGCAUCACGGCGAUCGUCUUCUGAUCAAAGGAGGUAAAAUUGUUAAUGAUGACCAGUCGUUCUAUGCAGACAUAUACAUGGAAGAUGGGUUGAUCAACAAAUAGGAGAAAAUCUGAUUGUGCCAGGAGGAGUGAAGACCAUCGAGGCCCACUCCCGGAUGGUGAUCCCCGGAGGAAUUGACGUCCACACUCGUUUCCAGAUGCCUGAUCAGGGAAUGACGUCUG